ensembl:lncRNA
GAUUUUGCAAGUAGAGAGAACAGGAGCAAACGAUGACCCAGUACAAGGACCAGAGUUGAGUCAGGGGUGUUUUCUGGAGAUAAGAAGGAGCCCAGGGCACAGGAGGCCACCUGGGCAAGUUUCAGUGAGGAAGGAGACAUGUCCUGAUGGAGGUUGACAAUGGGCAUCCUUGAACCCAGCAUCACCAGGGGUUGUACUAAAGGGCUCAGUCUGGGUUUCUCGCCAUCCAUCAUUGCAAGCCUCUCUGCACUUCCUGUGCUCCCUGGGUAUAUAAUGCUGUGCUGCAUGUUCUCAGGAAAUAGCGAGCACUCUGGGUCCAGACCAGUUCUUUCAAGGGAACGCCAGGGUCCAUCUGGUCCAAUGUGGCCCUCAUGGCAUCUUUGGUUUUGUCAUCUCCAAAGUGGACAUGCUUGGCUCUUUCCUUCUGGGAUUACCUGUAUCCAGGCCCUGGCUGCAAAGGCAUCAUCGGACUACAGGACCAGAGCACUCUGUCCCUCAUGACCCCCGCAUCCAUCCCCAUAUUCCAAAUCCAGUGGUCUGCCUGGUAGAGGGGGAUGUGAUUCUUUUCCAGCUUCAUAUUCUUCCCCACAAUCGCUCAGCCAGUCACUACCCUGUGUACCAGAUGCAGCAUCUGUUUAACAGCAACCCCCACUGGGACUUUGGGGCCUUCAGGAGACUCAGCCACCUGGUACAAGAGACUCACCUCAACUUCUCAAGGUUUGCCCACCAGUUCCUAGAUCCAGGCACAUAUGUGUUUCGAGACAAUGGACUGCCUGAAAGCGUCAUCGUGGUGCUGGUGAAGAAGAAAGGAGUGGCCUGUGAUCCCAGUCUAUCCCCCGUACAGCCCUCCUCCCCGUAUCAGCUUACCAGGCAUGGGGUUCUCAGGCACAGGCUGCCAAACCUGGGCCCAGACUGGGCAGUGAUCACAGGAGAGCCAUUCCCUGUGAAGAUCCUAGAGGACUUCAGCAUCCGUACCCUCUACGACAAGCUUGAGGACCAGAGCCUGCAUGUGGCAGCCCAGCUGAACAAGCACAGGAGUGAUGCACUAGCCUUCUACAGGGGUGCAAGCCAGCAGCUCCAGGGCCUCAAGGACAUUCUGCAGCAUCUCAGCACAACUGAACAGCAAACUCUGGGCAGGGGUAGAGACCCAGGGAAGGAGGUCAAAGCUGCUUCCAGGACAUACACUGGGCAGAGUGAGGAAUCUUGGGGCCGCCACACUGCAGCUUCACCCAGGGAGCACUGGCAGCGUCC